UUUAUAUGAAAAAAAAGAGUGAAAAUGAACCGUUUUUUGCACGAGGAAACCCUUAAUGUUCAUUUGCAAGUCAGAAAACACACGUUUUCUGUGAUAUUUUUUCAAGAGUAAUUUUAUUUAAUAAAUAAAUUGAAAUAAUAUAAAUCUACAGACUUUAAUAUGCUUUAAUAAUCGGCGCUUAAUUUUGAAAAAAUUUGGUUUUUCUUGAUGCCGCAGUCGAUCUCCACAAGAACCACUGAAAAAGGAACCACCAAAAACCAAAAAAUAUUUAUUAGAAUAGAUGAGUACAGAUAAUGAUCAAAGGACUAGUCAAAUGUUGAUUUUUGACAAUAUGGCGGCUUACCAAAAAAUAGUAGAUUUUUGUAGAAAAGGCACUCUGAAGCCUUAAAAAUCGAAAUCUUUAUCAAAAAUCUAUUCCAUGGACCAUUAUCUACAAAUUUAUCUAAGAAGAGCUUGCUGGCCGAAAUGCCGUCAUCACAUUUGUAGUUGUGGCGCGCCCGCAUUUUCAAGCUCCCAUAUAUGAACAAUUGACCAAAAAUCGACAAAUUUAAGAAAAACAAACUAGUACUGGUAUUUUUCGCUUUUAUUUAUUU